rnacentral:snoRNA from 1 species
UCUCCCCAUAUUUAGCACUGGGCUCCAGACAUCUUUGAGGACACAGUGGCCUCCAGAAUCUUUGACAUCUGGAGUCUGAGGGGCUC